GUCAGAAUGGCCGAGCGGUCUAAGGCGCCAGACUCAAACUCUGAAGGGAGGCGUGGGUUCGAAUCCCACUUCUGACA